CUUUGCCAGUGAAAUAAGUGAAAGGUGUUUUCAAUUUUUGAAAAAUACAAAAAGUUGAAACAAAGAUAAAUCUUUUUUAUUUUAUUAUUAUUACACUGGGAUCCCCAUUCGAAAGGUUCCCGGUCCCCGCCCCCUUUGUGACCUCAUACAAAGACUUGGCUAAUACUGCAAAGUUUGGGAUGCACAGUCUAUAAAACCCCACAGCCCCUAAGAAUUCCCUCACCUGCCCCCUUUGUGACCUCAUAGAAAGGCUUGGCUAGUACUGCAAAGUUUGGGAGGCACAGUCUACACAACCCCACAGCCCCUAAGAAUUCCCUCACCUGCCUUCUGCCCUUAGGCUCCGGUAGAUUGCAAAUGACCUGCUUUCUUUCUGUUCCCGGCGUUUGGACCCCUGUCGGAUAGUAAAUCCCAAGUAAGGUACCUGCCGUGGGCAGAUUUGAGCUUUCUUCUUGGACACCUAAUACCCAGAGUCGUCCAGGUGGG
rnacentral:lncRNA from 1 species